rnacentral:rRNA from 1 species
GCUUGUCUCAAAGAUUAAGCCAUGCAUGUCUAAGUGUAAAUAAGUCUAUACUGUGAAACUGCGAAUGGCUCAUUAAAUCAGUUAUCGUUUAUUUGAUGAUCUCUUACUACUUGGAUAACCGUAGUAAUUCUAGAGCUAAUACGUGAAUGAAACCCGGGCAACCGGGCGUUUUUAUGAGUUUCUUAAACCUACUUUCACUGAAUUAUCGUAAAUUUAACAGACCGGCGGGAAACUGCCGGCGCACCGUAUGAAUUUCUGCCCUAUCAACUUUGAUGGUAGUGUAGUGGACUACCAUGGUUACGACGGGUAACGGGGAAUUAGGGUUCGAUUCCGGAGAGGGAGCCUGAGAAACGGCUACCACUUCUAAGGAAGGCAGCAGG